CUUGCGGCCUGGCCGAUGCAGCCUAAAAUCAGGAGGGAAUCCCGAGGCGGCGGGCCUUCCUCCCUCGGCCUCGACGAUGGAGUGCUCUGGGGGCGCAGCAGGCAGCUUGACGGCGAGGAGGGACGCGGUGGCGGCGCUCCUGCAGACGCUCGCCGUCUUCUCGGCGAUGUCGUGGCGACGGUGGUGGUGACCAUCGCCUGUUGGCAGGUGGUGUUUACCUUGCCAACUGGCAGGCUUGGCUUAGAGAUUUCCAUUAUGUUUUCCGUUUUUUUUACUGUGGCAAGAGUUGUUGAACAGGUAGCUACUAUUUCGAUCAAAGAGUCACACGUGUUUUUUUUAACUUGCUAUAAACAUGGUUUGUAUUUUUGUAUCUUCAUAUAAAUCCGACCGAAGCUACAAAAGCUGAGCAGCU
rnacentral:misc_RNA from 1 species